GACGAACGCUGGCGGCGUGCUUAACACAUGCAAGUCGAACGAUGAUCAGGAGCUUGCUCCUGUGAUUAGUGGCGAACGGGUGAGUAACACGUGAGUAACCUGCCCCUCACUCUGGGAUAAGCGUUGGAAACGACGUCUAAUACUGGAUAUGAUCACUGGCCGCAUGGUCUGGUGGUGGAAAGAUUUUGUGGUUGGGGAUGGACUCGCGGCCUAUCAGCUUGUUGGUGAGGUAAUGGCUCACCAAGGCGACGACGGGUAGCCGGCCUGAGAGGGUGACCGGCCACACUGGUACUGAGAAACGGCCCAGACUCCUACGGGAGGCAGCAGUGGGGAAUAUUGCACAAUGGGCGAAAGCCUGAUGCAGCAACGCCGCGUGAGGGAUGACGGCCUUCGGGUUGUAAACCUCUUUUAGUAGGGAAGAAGCGAAAGUGACGGUACCUGCAGAAAAAGCACCGGCUAACUACGUG
rnacentral:rRNA from 1 species